UACGUAGGGGGCAAGCGUUGUCCGGAAUUAUUGGGCGUAAAGAGCGCGUAGGCGGUCCGAUAAGUCGGGUGUGAAACCUCCAGGCUCAACCUGGAGACGCCACCCGAUACUGCUAUAGCUUGAGUCCGGUAGGGGAGCGUGGAAUUCCUGGUGUAGCGGUGAAAUGCGCAGAUAUCAGGAGGAACACCAGCGGCGAAGGCGGCGCUCUGGGCCGGUACUGACACUGAGGAGCGAAAGCGUGGGGAGCAAACAGG
rnacentral:rRNA from 1 species